UACAGAGGUCUCAAGCGUUGUUCGGAUUCAUUGGGCGUAAAGGGUGUGUAGGUGGCGCUGUAAGUCGGGUGUGAAAUCUCGGGGCUUAACCUGGAAACUGCCAUUGAUACUAUAGGUCUUGAAUAUUGUGGAGGUUAGCGGAAUAUGUCAUGUAGCGGUGAAAUGCUUAGAUAUGACAUAGAACACCAAUUGCGAAGGCAGCUGGCUACGCAUAUAUUGACACUGAGGCUCGAAAGCGUGGGGAUCAAACAGG
rnacentral:rRNA from 1 species